rnacentral:rRNA from 1 species
UACGGGGGGGGCAAGCGGUUGUUCGGAAUUACUGGGCGUAAAGGGCGUGUAGGCGGCCAACUAAGUCCGACGUGAAAUCCCCAGGCUUAACCUGGGAACUGCGUCGGAUACUGGAUGGCUUGAAUCCGGGAGAGGGAUGCGGAAUUCCAGGUGUAGCGGUGAAAUGCGUAGAUAUCAGGAGGAACACCGAUGGCGAAGGCAGGUCUCUGGGCCUUACCUGACGCUCAGGCACGAAAGCUAGGGGAGCGAACAGG